rnacentral:rRNA from 1 species
GAUGAACGCUGGCGGCGUGCCUAAUACAUGCAAGUCGAGCGAACAGACGAGGAGCUAGCUCCUCUGACGUUAGCGGCGGACGGCUGAGUAACACGUGGAUAACCUACCUAUAAGACUGGGAUAACUUCGGGAAACCGGAGCUAAUACCGGAUAAUAUAUUGAACCGCAUGGUUCAAUAGUGAAAGACGGUUUUGCUGUCACUUAUAGAUGGAUCCGCGCCGCAUUAGCUAGUUGGUAAGGUAACGGCUUACCAAGGCAACGAUGCGUAGCCGACCUGAGAGGGUGAUCGGCCACACUGGAACUGAGACACGGUCCAGACUCCUACGGGAGGCAGCAGUAGGGAAUCUUCCGCAAUGGGCGAAAGCCUGACGGAGCAACGCCGCGUGAGUGAUGAAGGUCUUCGGAUCGUAAAACUCUGUUAUUAGGGAAGAACAAAUGUGUAAGUAACUAUGCACGUCUUGACGGUACCUAAUCAGAAAGCCACGGCUAACUACGUG